GGGUUGGGUGAUGAGUGAUAUAUUGUCUGAAGAGAGGUGAUGACAUAAAAAUCAUGCUCAAUAGGAUUACGCUGAGGCCC